rnacentral:rRNA from 1 species
AGUGAACGCUGGCGGUAGGCCUAACACAUGCAAGUCGAACGGCAGCACAGUAAGAGCUUGCUCUUACGGGUGGCGAGUGGCGGACGGGUGAGGAAUACAUCGGAAUCUACUUUUUCGUGGGGGAUAACGUAGGGAAACUUACGCUAAUACCGCAUACGACCUACGGGUGAAAGCAGGGGAUCUUCGGACCUUGCGCGAUUGAAUGAGCCGAUGUCGGAUUAGCUAGUUGGCGGGGUAAAGGCCCACCAAGGCGACGAUCCGUAGCUGGUCUGAGAGGAUGAUCAGCCACCCUGGAACGGAGACACGGUCCAGACUCCUACGGGAGGCAGCAGUGGGGAAUAUUGGACAAUGGGCGCAAGCCUGAUCCAGCCAUACCGCGUGGGUGAAGAAGGCCUUCGGGUUGUAAAGCCCUUUUGUUGGGAAAGAAAAGCAGCAGGUUAAUACCCCGCUGUUCUGACGGUACCCAAAGAAUAAGCACCGGCUAACUUCGUG